rnacentral:ncRNA from 2 species
UUCCCAUCCGGAGCGGCCGAGAGACCUGGCUCGUCGACGCCGCAGCAACCAGUGCCGUCCAUCCGCGGCACAAGGUGCUAAUGCCAGGACCGAUGGAGUGAUGUGAU